rnacentral:rRNA from 1 species
GACGAACGCUGGCGGCGUGCUUAACACAUGCAAGUCGAACGGAAAGGCCCCUUUGGGGGUACUCGAGUGGCGCACGGGUGAGUAACACGUGAGUAACCUGCCCUUGACUUCGGGAUAACUUCAGGAAACUGGGGCUAAUACCGGAUAGGAAUCCUUGCUGCAUGGUGGGGGUUGGAAAGCUUCGGCGGUUUUGGAUGGACUCGCGGCUUAUCAGCUUGUUGGUGGGGUAGUGGCUUACCAAGGCUUUGACGGGUAGCCGGCCUGAGAGGGCGACCGGCCACAUUGGGACUGAGAUGCGGCCCAGACUCCUACGGGAGGCAGCAGUGGGGAAUAUUGCACAAUGGGCGGAAGCCUGAUGCAGCAACGCCGCGUGCGGGAUGACGGCCUUCGGGUUGUAAACCGCUUUCAGCAGGGGCGAAGCUUGUGGUGACGGUACCUGCAGAAGAAGCACCGGCUAACUACGUG